UGAGUCAAAUGUAUUGAAUUAAUAAAUGAAUAUCCAUAUCUUAUCUGCAAGCCUGUUUGAUUUGUAACCACAUGGACAUACAGCUUUAAUGACGAGGAAUGACUUGGAGGCCAAUUAGCAUCCAUUUAUGCUACUGCUGCUGGGGGUUAAUUAACUCUGAUAAAUGUGCACAAAUUAGCAUUUGUUGUUUUACAGCAGAAAUCACAUCAAGGUGAAUCCCAUGCCAAGCUCUGAAGCAGAGGGUUGUAGACACCUGAGCUGUGGACGGGAGACGCCCUGAAGUUUAACCCAUGAGGACCUCCCACCAUUUCCUCAGCUGACUGCUUUCUCAGAUCCUUUCAAAGAGGCGUUUCCUAGUGAUGGUCAGACAGCAGAAACCCGUCACAUCCAUGAGCCUGUGCGAAUUCCCUUUGCCUGUUUUGUGAAGAUCUGGGGAGGGUUGCUAUGGUGAACUUAGUGCUUGGGGAGGGAAAGGAGCCCCUGCCUGAGAAUGUUCCUGGUCCCCAGUGUCCCUCCCCCUCAGGAAAGUGACAUCAGAGAGGAGGAGCUGAGCUUUUACCCCCGCGUGUCACCUCAUCUCUCUACGCCUCAAUUUCCUCAUUGGAUGGUGGCAUCUGCUUUAUGGGGAGGGGGGUGUUGCAGUGGCAUUGCUGAGGAUGAAGUGACAUAAUGAGUGUCAUGGUACUUCGAGAACCAUAUAUUAUGCUGUCACUCACUUCAUCGACAUCGACAGUCCCAAAAGUUGUCGGCUUCUGUUCAGCUGCCUGUGCUGUGAGAGAUGAGUGGUGUCUAAGAAUUCCUUUGGGAAGGGUUUGACCAGCUCUCUGGGGGGCAGACAGUGUGGGCACUUAAUUGAGUCGCCUGGCACACACAUGACUCUCUGAGGCUGGCACAGAGAGGACUCUGGAACACGUCCCGUCAGUCUGGCCCAGUGCUGGAUUAGCGGCCUGUCCUGGGUGUCAUUUCAAGUUCUGCUUCAAGUUCUGUGUUGUCUGCGGAUCCUUGGCAGCGAUACAAGGGCUCUGCUUCUCCAGAUCUCCCAGAUCAAGCCGCCUCACUUGGGAGUGGCAGGUGGAGGGGGAGCGGAAGAUAUUUCCAGAUCCUGAUUUCACAGCACAGUGACUAGACAGAGAGGCAUCCCAUAAAGCCUUCCCGGGCCCGGCACCGCGGCGAGCUGUCAGUAGGGGGAGCUCUGUCACUGUGGUGCCUCCUCUUGCCGCAGCUGGGGUGAGGGUCUGCCUGGGGGUCUGAGGAGGGGCUCUAGGAGGCCAAGGGCGCUGUCUUCGGUAGACAGGUACUGAAAAGCAGCUAGGUCAAGAGUUGUGGGCUGCGAGAGCCCCAGCAGAAAAAGAAGUGGAAAUCCACUGUGCCUGGUGCCCAGGGGUUAGAAGGGUGUUUGGGCUAAGCACACAAAGAAAACGCACAAAUAUCCCAACUUAGGGUGUCUUAACGAAGAAGGGCUGGAGGGUGCGGCUUCACUAAGACCGAAGCUGCUAGAAUUGCCCUCCCUCCCCGUUCCCUCCCACAGGGCCGCCUGUGGGGACUGGCCACAAGGGGGCCCAACAUGGUUCCGGGAGCUCCCGAGUGUGCCCUCUGUGGGUGCCUGGGUCUCUCUGCUCACUGAGCAGCCCUCAUGAAGCUGGCCUGGCCCUGGCUUAUCAGCUGUACCCAAAGGCAGGAAGGUUCUAAAUGAGGCUCCUAGCCUCAGACUGGGAAGAGGGGAAGAUAAGAAUGUAAGCUUCAUAAGGAGAGCGCUGGGAGUUUCUCUCGUUUACCACCCAUCGAGUCCCUGGCAGAAAGUAGAUACUCAACAAAUAAGAGCCGAAUGAGAGAAUAAAUGGGGUCACCAGGUUGCCAGUGGAAUCCCUCCCACCUUCUAGCGGCCAGACUGCUGUCUCAGACUGUAUGGAUACUGUGCUGUGUUCUUAUCGACUGAAGGGGAGAACCACAGCUGGGCUGAAGCUCUCCGCGCAGCUCCUGGGACUUUUGAGUUCUCGUGAGGUGAUCACUGGUCUCACUCCUCUUGUUUGAUCUCCCCCGGACUCUCGGCUAAGUUAAGGUCCAUUCCCUACCACGCCCACUGUCUUCUUUCUCGAGAUUCUUAGCUUCUGGUCUUUGUGUGACACACGUGGCUCUCUCCAAGUGAAGCCCAGAAAGCUACAUGGUGGAGGGAAGGUUGUGGGCCGUUAGCUCCUGAGCUACUGCUCCAGAGCCAGAGUCUCUUAGCAUGGUCCACCUGCCCUCGAUGCAGUUUCAUGAUGAGAUCAAGGAGCAGGUCAUCUGGACUGGUUGGGAUGGUUUCAGAAGAAGCCUGAAUACUUCCUGAAGCAGUCCACCUCUGCUUUUGCAAGUCCUCCGGAACUUUGUACCUUGAGAGCUGGCUCAGAGGCAGCCGAGGAGCCGGCCUGGAGACUCCCCUUUCUCUAGAGAGCGGGACUACAGCUUGCUGGCUGAGCGCACAGAGCCUCAAGGCCGCUCUACCUGUGUGCCCUGCUCAUGGUCCGCCCCCAGCCACUCCCUCGCCGGGCCUGUGCUGAAUCAGCAGCAUCCCCCUUGCUCUCUUGGCAUCGUGCAGCCCGGCUAAGCCAAGUGUGGUUACAAUGAGUCGGUUCAUCUGGAAGCUCGCAUCCUGUACCCUUUUCCAAUGUGAUAUUCCAGCCAACUGGCACCCAAGAGUAAAGAGAAACCCUGGGAACCGAGGCUGCUGAGGACUUACAGCCUUGCACAAGCCAAGGGCAAGGGCAACAUUGAGGGGAAGGUCGCCCCGCUGCCAGGCCUUUCUCUCUACUCCAUCUUUGUUCCUGUCUAGCAGCACAUGGCCCCGGCUGGCAGUCAGCGAUCCGCUGCUGGUACUUGUUGGUGGCUUGGCUGUCCUCCAUCUAGCCAGGGCAUUUGGACCUUUUUUCUAAUUCUGCUUAUGAGCUCGGGAAGCGAGCCAGUAGGUUCCCUUGGAAAUUGCCUCUAUUGAUGUCAUUUUCCAUCCUAGUCCCCGGGGGAAUCUGUUUCUCUAUUUCCUCCACAUUGACACUACUCUUGCCCUUGGCUCAAAUACAGAAGCCUCAGGUAGCACCAAUGCCAUGGGGAAGGGAAGGGAUGGGGGGGCACAUGUAAGGGACGGAGGUCAUGGGGCACUCGGGUGGCUCCGUUGGUUAAGUAUCCGACUCUUGAUUUCAGCUCAGGUUAUGAUCUUGCGGUUCCUGAGUUUGAGCCCCACAUCAGGCUCUGCACACACAGCACAGAGCCUGCCUUGGAUCUUCUGUCUCCCUCUCUCUGCCCCUCCCUGACUCGAACUCGUACUCUGUCUCUCAAGAACAAAAAAAUGUUAAAAAAAACUUAAAGAUGGAGGCGGUAAAAUGUUUACAUCUGGUCAAAGUGAUAGAUGAAGCUUUGAGCCCCCAGGGUUGUAAAGUCACCCAAGGAGGGAGGGAGUCACAGGCUUAUUUCUUAGCCCCCGGACUGAUUGGCUAUGGCUUUUGUCAGGAACUCUCUGGCACAUCUGUGAGCACCAGUGUUGACAUGGGUUAUGGGCUGAAUCACACCCCACCCUCCGCCCACACAUUCAUAUGAAAUCUUAGCUAUCGGUACCUCAGCAUAGCUCUGUAUUUGGAAAUUGAGUCUUUUAAAAGGUAAUUAAGGUACAAAUGAGGUCAUAUAGAUGAGCCCUAAUCCAGUAUGACCGGUGUCCUUAUAAGUGGAGAUGUGGACACAGACAGGCAUGGAGAAAAGACCACAUGAAGACAGAGGAGAAGGUGGUUGUCUGCAAGACAAGCAGAGCAACCCUGAGAAGAUACCUAUCUUAUCGACAUUCCUGUUCUUAGACGCCUACCCCCCAGUGUUGCGGGAAAAUAAAUUCCCAUUGUUUAAACCAUACAGUCUGUGGGACUUUGUUACGGCUGCCCUAGCCAACUAACACAGCCUCUUCCAGCAAUAACAGAGAAGGUGUGUGCAGAAGGGCCAAGGGGCUAGUAGAUUAGAUGAUCCCAUUGUGACCAUUUUCUCUUGGACUCUCGAGAUUACUGGUGGUGUGGGGCGCCUGGGUGGCUCCACUGGCUAGGCAUCUGACCCUUGAUUCUGGCUGAGGUCACGAUCUCCUGGUUUGCGAGUUUGAGCCCUGUGUUGGGCUCUGUGCUGGCAGUGGGGAGCCUGGUUGGGAUUCUCUCUCUCCCUCUCUGGCUCUCUCGAAAUAAACAAACAUUUAAAAAAAUAAAAAUUAAAUUAAAUUAAAAAAAAAAAA